GCUAGAAUGCCCUUGAUGGGUCCGGAGACGGAUCGUUCCGCAAGACAAGGAGCAAGGUGCUGCAUGGCUGUCGUCAGCUCGUGCCGUGAGGUGUUGGGUAAGUCCCGCAACGAGCGCAACCCUUAUUUUUAGUUGCCAGCACGUCAAGUGGGGACUCUAAAAAGACUGCCCGCGCAAGCGGAGAGGAAGGAGGGGAUGACGUCAAGUCAUCAUGGCCCUUACGCCCAGGGCUACACACGUGCUACAAUGGCGCAUACAAAGUGUUGCAAUCCGGUGACGGAAAGCCAAUCACAAAAAGUGCGUCUCAGUUCGGAUUGCAGGCUGCAACUCGCCUGCAUGAAGCUGGAAUCGCUAGUAAUCGCGCAUCAGCAAUGGCGCGGUGAAUGCGUUCCCGGACCUUGUACACACCGCCCGUCAAGCCAUGGGAGUUGGGAGGACCUGAAGGCAGUUGCUGUGAGGCGCUGUUUAGGGUAAACUAAUGACUGGGGCUAAGUCGUAACAAGGUAGCCGUAAAGGGCGAAUU
rnacentral:rRNA from 1 species